UACGUAGGGUGCAAGCGUUAAUCGGAAUUACUGGGCGUAAAGCGUGCGCAGGCGGUUUUGUAAGUCUGUCGUGAAAUCCCCGGGCUCAACCUGGGAAUUGCGAUGGAGACUGCAAGGCUAGAAUCUGGCAGAGGGGGGUAGAAUUCCACGUGUAGCAGUGAAAUGCGUAGAGAUGUGGAGGAACACCGAUGGCGAAGGCAGCCCCCUGGGUCAAGAUUGACGCUCAUGCACGAAAGGCGUGGGGAGCAAACAGGAUUACGAAAC
rnacentral:rRNA from 1 species